rnacentral:rRNA from 1 species
CCCUUUCCUGCGGAAUAGCUCCGGGAAACUGGAAUUAAUACCGCAUACGCCCUACGGGGGAAAGAUUUAUCGGGGAAGGAUUGGCCCGCGUUGGAUUAGCUAGUUGGUGGGGUAAAGGCCUACCAAGGCGACGAUCCAUAGCUGGUCUGAGAGGAUGAUCAGCCACAUUGGGACUGAGACACGGCCCAAACUCCUACGGGAGGCAGCAGUGGGGAAUAUUGGACAAUGGGCGCAAGCCUGAUCCAGCCAUGCCGCGUGAGUGAUGAAGGCCUUAGGGUUGUAAAGCUCUUUCACCGAUGAAGAUAAUGACGGUAGUCGGAAAAGAAGCCCCGGCUAACUUCGUGCCAGCAGCCGCGGUAAUACGAAGGGGGCUAGCGUUGUUCGGAAUUACUGGGCGUAAAGCGCACGUAGGCGGAUAUUUAAGUCAGGGGUGAAAUCCCCGCAGCUCAACUGCGGAACUGCCUUUGAUACUGGGUAUCUUGAGUAUGGAAAAAGGUAAGUGGAAUUCCGAGUGUAGAGGUGAAAUUCGUAGAUAUUCGGAGGAACACC